CGGUGACAACGGCAGUUUCUUAAGUACUGACAUUUGUAGCUGCAAUUAGCUGUGUGGUCUUGUUCCUCACUUUCCCUCCUGUUGUAUAGCACAGUGAUUUGUGCCAUCAUGCAGUGACUUGAAUCAGAAAAUUGAUCCUGACUUCGAGAGGGGUCUGUGGCAAGCAGCAGUUUCUAACCCAAGCUAGUUUCCCACUCUGGUCUAGUGGGUGGCUCCACCAGGAGAUGGGAUCAUGGCCUAAGGAUGAGAACAAGCAGCAGGAGGGUCCUCUCUCUUGAACUGGCAUUUUACUGAAUAGAUGCUCAUCAGAUUAUGCCUCUAGAAUCUGUGACUCAUCUUGCCCUCAAUUCAAUUACUUCAGAGGAUCUGUAAAUUUUCAAUAAUGGCAAUACAUUCAUUCUGCCAUUUGGAGGAGCCUGUGCCACAGAAUAAUGAUCUGAAGAAAGCUCACUCAUUUGCAAGGAAGAGUCUUCAUUUGGGAAUUAGCACUGAUGCAGCUCAAGGGUGCUUCUUCAAGUCCAGACUCCUCAGCAGAACUGUAAUUUUCCUAACACAGCCUCUGGUACAAGGAUGAAAUUGGGUUUUUGUCAAAGAACGGAGUCCUGUAUCUGAACAGUAAGAAGGUCCUUGACAUUCAGUGGGAUGAGAAUCUCAGAACUGACUACUGGGGACUCCCAAGCUACAGAUCAGUUCUAUAGGCAAUGCAGAAUGUGAGAGAAACAGCUGCAUCUGAAAUAGAUCAUCUGCUUUAAAAAAAACCAUUUUGGUAGGUGUGGGCUUCUUGUCAGAAAUCCGUUCCGAAGCUUGAGUGCAAAGGAAGCAGGGUACUAACGAUGAAUAAGAAUGGAUAUUUGAGGAUAACAAUGGAUACAGCAUCUUCAAAAGCAUUGGCAUUCUGGUCCUGGUCCUGCAACUGGAUUUGUUCAAAUGGACCUCGAUAGCCUGGGGGCCUGAUGAAGUUCAUGGGACUCUGGUGACUGCAGGUUCUCACUCUGAAGAUCUAAUUGUAGGCCUGAACCUAAAUUUCUAUUUUGUUCUCCUGUGUGUUUGCUUCUUAAAUGAUGAAAAUUAUCCUUUAAAAUGGUGUUGUCGUUGAGCCUCAUGCACAUCCACUUUAGUAAUGUUCCAACACUGUGUGCCUGGGAUGUUGUCAGACAUUGUUAAAUUAUUUCUGUUCUGUUGUGUGCCUAAACCUCAUGAUUGCUCUGAUUAUUGUGUUAGAUUUUUCCAUUUAGUGCCUUCCUACCUAAAAUGGAGGUGAUAAUCACCUGUAUUUGCAAUCGUUGUGGUAUUUCUCUUAACUCAGAUUUUUAAGUCAGAGUUACUGGUGAAACUGUUCAGGUUAUUUUUAAAGAUGUAGGUAGAUUUGUUUAUUUCUUGCUGGACACAAAGUAUAAUAAUUUAAUUUGCAAACUUGGUAACCUAGUAUUACUGAAAGCUUUCAAUAUGAUGAUACUCUGAUGUAAUAAAAUGAGUAGGAAAUGA